GAUGAACGCUAGCUACAGGCCUAACACAUGCAAGUCGAGGGGAAACGACAUCGAAAGCUUGCUUUUGAUGGGCGUCGACCGGCGCACGGGUGAGUAACGCGUAUCCAACCUGCCCACCACUUGGGGAUAACCUUGCGAAAGUAAGACUAAUACCCAAUGAUAUCCCACGAAGACAUCUGAAUGGGAUUAGAGAUUUAUCGGUGAUGGAUGGGGAUGCGUCUGAUUAGCUUGUUGGCGGGGUAACGGCCCACCAAGGCAACGAUCAGUAGGGGUUCUGAGAGGAAGGUCCCCCACAUUGGAACUGAGACACGGUCCAAACACCUACGGGAGGCAGCAGUGAGGAAUAUUGGUCAAUGGGCGAGAGCCUGAACCAGCCAAGUAGCGUGCAGGAAGACGGCCCUAUGGGUUGUAAACUGCUUUUAUAAGGGAAUAAAGUGGGUCACGUGUGACUUUUUGCAUGUACCUUAUGAAUAAGGACCGGCUAAUUCCGUG
rnacentral:rRNA from 1 species